UGGGACAAAGCUCAGUUGGUACAGCAUGAGACUCCUAACCUCAGGGUCGUAGGUUCGAGCCCCACAGUGGGCAAAA